GGCGCGAACCCACGUAGGUAAAAACUGCGGGGAUGAGCUGUGGGUAGGGGUGAAAGGCCAAUCAAACUCCGUGAUAGCUGGUUCUCCCCGAAAUGCAUUUAGGUGCAGCGUCGUAUGAGCUUGGUGGAGGUAGAGCGACUGGUUGGUUGAGCGGGACUACAAUCUUAGCAAUGUCAGCCAAACUCCGAAUGCCAUCAAUUGUGUUGUGCGGCAGUGAGACUGUGGGGGAUAAGCUUCAUAGUCGAGAGGGAAACAGCCCAGAUCGCCGGUUAAGGCCCCUAAGGGUGUACUAAGUGGAAAAGGAUGUGGGAUCGCGAAGACAGCCAGGAGGUUGGCUUAGAAGCAGCCAUCCUUGAAAGAGUGCGUAAUAGCUCACUAGUCAAGCGCUCUCGCGCCGAAAAUGAACGGGGCUAAGCGAUGUACCGAAGCUGUGGGAUAUAUCUAUCGAUGUAUCGGUAGGGGAGCGUUCCGUAUUAGGUAGAAGCACUAGCGGCGAGCAGGUGUGGACGAAACGGAAGUGAGAAUGUCGGCUUGAGUAGCGCAAACAUUGGUGAGAAUCCAAUGCCCCGAAACCCUAAGGGUUCCAGAGCCAGGUUCGUCCCCUCUGGGUUAGUCAGGUCCUAAGGCGAGGUCGAACGGCGUAGUCGAUGGACAACGGGUGAAUAAUCCCGUACUCAAUUGAAUUUGUGCAGAGGGACGGAGGAGGCAAAUGUCAGCCGGAUGUUGGUUACCGGUUCAAGCGUCAAGGUGAUGAGAGUCGGUGAAAACGAUUCGAGCCAAGACGGGAGUACGACCCGAUACGUCGGGGAAGUGGCAUAGUCUGACUUCCAAGAAAAGCUCUAAACACGUUAAGUUCAGUUGACCUGUACCCGAAACCGACACAGGUAGGGUGGUUGAGAAUACUAAGGGGCGCGAGAUAACUCUCUCUAAGGAACUCGGCAAAAUGGCCCCGUAACUUCGGAAGAAGGGGUGCCCACCGUAACAAGUGGGUCGCAGUGAAGAGAUCCAGGCGACUGUUUACCAAAAACACAGGUCUCCGCAAACUCGAAAGAGAAAGUAUGGGGGCUGACGCCUGCCCAGUGCCGGAAGGUUAAGGAAGUCGGUCAGGGGGAAACCCUAAAGCUGGCGACUGAAGCCCCGGUGAACGGCGGCCGUAACUAUAACGGUCCUAAGGUAGCGAAAUUCCUUGUCGGGUAAGUUCCGACCCGCACGAAAGGCGUAACGAUCUGGAUGGUGUCUCAGAGAGAGACUCGGCGAAAUAGG
rnacentral:rRNA from 1 species